rnacentral:rRNA from 1 species
CUCGGUGAGCAUACUCGGAUGGCCCCACCCGUUCCCAUCCCGAACACGGCCGUUAAGCAUCCGAGGCCAAUGGUAGUCCUUCGCGGGCGAGAGUAGGUUGUUGCCGGGA